rnacentral:rRNA from 1 species
AUUGAACGCUGGCGGCAGGCCUAACACAUGCAAGUCGAGCGGAUGAAGGGAGCUUGCUCCUGGAUUCAGCGGCGGACGGGUGAGUAAUGCCUAGGAAUCUGCCUGGUAGUGGGGGAUAACGUCCGGAAACGGGCGCUAAUACCGCAUACGUCCUGAGGGAGAAAGUGGGGGAUCUUCGGACCUCACGCUAUCAGAUGAGCCUAGGUCGGAUUAGCUAGUUGGUGGGGUAAAGGCCUACCAAGGCGACGAUCCGUAACUGGUCUGAGAGGAUGAUCAGUCACACUGGAACUGAGACACGGUCCAGACUCCUACGGGAGGCAGCAGUGGGGAAUAUUGGACAAAGGGCGAAAGCCUGAUCCAGCGAUGCCGCGUGUGUGAAGAAGGUCUUCGGAUUGUAAAGCACUUUAAGUUGGGAGGAAGGGCAGUAAGUUAAUACCUUGCUGUUUUGACGUUACCAACAGAAUAAGCACCGGCUAACUUCGUG